rnacentral:rRNA from 1 species
UGGCGGNAGGCCUAACACAUGCAAGUCGAGCGGAUGAGAAGAGCUUGCUCUUCGAUUCAGCGGCGGACGGGUGAGUAAUGCCUAGGAAUCUGCCUAUUAGCGGGGGACAACGUUUCGAAAGGAACGCUAAUACCGCAUACGUCCUACGGGAGAAAGCAGGGGACCUUCGGGCCUUGCGCUAAUAGAUGAGCCUAGGUCGGAUUAGCUAGUUGGUGAGGUAAUGGCUCACCAAGGCUACGAUCCGUAACUGGUCUGAGAGGAUGAUCAGUCACACUGGAACUGAGACACGGUCCAGACUCCUACGGGAGGCAGCAGUGGGGAAUAUUGGACAAUGGGCGAAAGNCUGAUCCAGCCAUGCCGCGUGUGUGAAGAAGGUCUUCGGAUUGUAAAGCAC